rnacentral:rRNA from 1 species
GUGGGAAAUCUUAGACAAUGGGGGAAACCCUGAUCUAGCCAUGCCGCGUGAUCGAUGAAGGCCUUAGGGUUGUAAAGAUCUUUCAGGUGGGAAGAUAAUGACUGUACCACCAGAAGAAGCCCCGGCUAACUCCGUGCCAGCAGCCGCGGUAAUACGGAGGGGGCUAGCGUUGUUCGGAAUUACUGGGCGUAAAGCGCACGUAGGCGGAUUGGAAAGUUGGGGGUGAAAUCCCGGGGCUCAACCCCGGAACUGCCUUCAAAACUCCCAGUCUUGAGUUCGAGAGAGGUGAGUGGAAUUCCGAGUGUAGAGGUGAAAUUCGUAGAUAUUCGGAGGAACACCAGUGGCGAAGGCGGCUCACUGGCUCGAUACUGACGCUGAGGUGCGAAAGCGUGGGGAGCAAACAGGAUUAGAAACCCCAGUAGUCC